rnacentral:rRNA from 1 species
CCUACGGGUGGCUGCAGUCGAGAAUUUUUCUCAAUGGGGGAAACCCUGAAGGAGCGACGCCGCGUGGAGGAUGAAGGCUUUCGGGUUGUAAACUCCUGUCAUUUGGGAACUAGUACCAGAAGAGGAAGAGACGGCUAACUCUGUGCCAGCAGCCGCGGUAAUACAGAGGUCUCAAGCGUUGUUCGGAUUCAUUGGGCGUAAAGGGUGCGUAGGUGGCGCUGUAAGUCGGGUGUGAAAUUUCGGAGCUUAACUCCGAAACUGCAUUCGAUACUGCGGUGCUUGAGGACUGGAGAGGAGACUGGAAUUCAUGGUGUAGCAGUGAAAUGCGUAGAGAUCAUGAGGAAGACCAGUGGCGAAGGCGGGUCUCUGGACAGUCCUGACACUGAGGCACGAAGGCCAGGGGAGCAAACGGGAUUAGAUACCCUUGUAGUC